AUCAUUAUCACCUCCCAGCUGUGCCUCAGCGACGUGGUAGCAGACGCGGCCGACCGCUCCAUGGCCAUGCUGCACGACGAGGCUUCUUACAGCACGCACGCGCCAGGAUCUUCAUCUCUAAUGUCCGAAUCGAUGGGACUAGGAGGCAUGUCAGGAUUAGGGGAGACGUGUCUACCUUCACUCCUGCUGGGCGGCCCGCACCACCACGCGCCGCACUCUCCCCACCACCACCCGCGGCAACAUUGCUUCGACAUGGACUUGGGAGCUUAGCCAAGAAUCCAGACUCAGUCAAAAUGCCCAGUGGUACGAAACACGCAGUAUAUUGGAACAUGAUGGUUAUACUUUUGUAUAAACAAGUUUUACUGCGUUUUCUAGAUCAAGACAGUUUUAGAAGUUCGUUACAAUUUUUUGUGUUCUGUGGAACCAGACAACGAAUUUUUUUGCUAAUACCCGAGAAAAAAAUUGAAAUACCUAAUUCUACGCCCAUUUCAACAGCUGACUCAAAGAAUUAAAGUAUAUUAUGCCAUUUCUUUGUGGUGUCUUGUGAGAUUUUGGUGCACACAGAUGGAAUUCUUCGUGCUCUUAACUGAGUAAAAACCUAAACUUAGAACACACCUGGAUACUAUAAACACUUGAAUAAAAAAGAUCUCUACAACCUGGUUAUAAAAGACGUAUGCGUGGAUUUUUGUCGUAUGUCCAGAUCGAAUCGUAUCAUGCAAUUGAUUUCAGUACAUUUUAACUUAUAAUGAAGUUUGAGUAGAUAAUUAACAUCAAAUAUCAACUUUUUCAAACUUAUCAUUUUUAAAAUUUUUACUAUUUAAUUUAGAAAAGUACAGCAAAACUUUUUUAAUUUCAAAUUAUUUUAUUGAUUUGAUGAAUUCUUCUUGCACAAUUUUUGUUUGCCUGAAAACACUGCAAUUUCUACGACUAAUGCUUACAUUUUUCUAAUUUUUUGAAUCACAGUUGAAAAACCAAAGAUCACUUUGUCAAAAAUACUAUUUGGAAUAUUUUGAGUCCUAAUUUUAGACUUAAGUAUUUAAAAGGUCGUGAUACAUUAGUUACCAGCUCAUCUUUUAGAGAUAUUAUUAAUUUAGUUGAUUUUAUAACUUGUUUCUAAAUUUUGGCCCACUGUGCAAACAAAGGGUUGUGCUAAGAUUUUUAAGCUUUUGAAAAAAAGGAUUUGUCAAAAUCUACGUAACUAUUUUUAACGUAAAAGUAUUUAAAAAUAAACAAGAUUUUUGUUGUAUUUUACAUUUUGAUAUAAAAGCAAUUUUACAAGGAAUUUUGUAAAAUUAACGGUGCUUUACUUAUUUUCUGGAGACUAAAAUGGUGUCUAUUUUACAUAGAAUAUAUUAUUUUAUAUAUUUAUAUACAAUAUAACUGGGAUAAUAACUAGAGGACCAUAAUUACAUAAAAAUGUGAUACAAUAUAUUUUUAGAUGAUAUUUAUUGAGAUAUUUUACUAUUUUUAUGUGAAUAUCACAAAGUGCCUUGCUUUUAGCCAAUCAUCAGAUGCUUAUUUAUGUUAAAUUUUGUAAAUAUUUAUGAGAUUUUUAAAAAUCUUUAACACUGGUUAAGCAAUUCACGUGUGUACGUUAAGUUUUUGUGAUGAAUUUAUUAAAAAACUGUAAUUUAGAUUCAUAAUUCAGUAUUUUAUCUUUGAACUGUAUAAGAAAUGUAAGAUUAGGGUGAUUUUGUAUUACCGAAAUAUUUUGUUAAAAAAUGUUGCUUUGGCGCAGCUAAUUUUUUGAUGAAUGCAAAAAUUUCUAUUUUUGUACACCCUAUAUUAAGCGUAGUGGUACUUUGUUGUUAAACAAAUCGAACAAAAGCUAUUUUAUCUAAUUUUAAGUAAAAUGCGAAUCAGUGAGCCUUAUAGUAGAUUUUAUUUUUAAUAAUAGUAGAGAGAAUCGUUAUUUUGUUACUUCUUGUGAAAGUUAAGUGUGUGUGAAUUUCGCUGGGAAAUAAAAUAACGAAAUAAAUAAAUAAAAAUGUUUACCUACAAUUUUGGACCUUCGUAACACCUGCGUUUAGUAAUUCUGUAGAUAAUAUUCUAAAUAUCGUAUUAAAAGUGAUAUUAUGUGCCUUAAUAUGUACUUUGUAUAGUAAUAAAUAUUGUUUAUCGUGUAAAUAGAUUAUUUUGUUCAUAUUUAGAUAAUAUUUAAGAUUUUUUUUCGUUUGACCUGUACAUUGUAGUUUAGCAAAUUUGAAGCAUUACAUUAUAUUUAGUUCUCUUUUUUCUUUAAUUCUACAAAAAAAAAUGAUAUUGUAUUUCAAUAACUUAGAAAACGAAUUAGCAACUAUAUUAUUUGUGAAAACUUUAUUAUAUGAUUUAUUUAGCUAUUUACUUACGAUAAAACGCAAUAAUUUACCUAUAUCUUUUAUGUGGAAUUUUGUGUCUCGAGCGAAACACAAACACAAACUUAUGUAUGAAUGUUAUUUAAUAUUGUAUGAGAUUAAAAAUGUUAAAGUACAAAAGUAAAUAACAAAAUUUACGAGAAUAA